rnacentral:rRNA from 1 species
UGGGGAAUAUUGCACAAUGGGCGCAAGCCUGAUGCAGCCAUGCCGCGUGUAUGAAGAAGGCCUUCGGGUUGUAAAGUACUUUCAGCGGGGAGGAAGGCGAUGUGGUUAAUAACCGCGUCGAUUGACGUUACCCGCAGAAGAAGCACCGGCUAACUCCGUGCCAGCAGCCGCGGUAAUACGGAGGGUGCAAGCGUUAAUCGGAAUUACUGGGCGUAAAGCGCACGCAGGCGGUGUGUCAAGUCGGAUGUGAAAUCCCCGGGCUCAACCUGGGAACUGCAUCCGAAACUGGCAGGCUUGAGUCUCGUAGAGGGGGGUAGAAUUCCAGGUG